AUUGACUCUUGAUUGUGAGUGUUCGGUCAUCUUUAGGAGUGGAGAUACCACCAUUGUUGAUCUAUUUAAGUGUUUACCAUUGAUUGAGUAUCUUAAUGUUGUGCUUUUCAUCGUUGAGAUGUAUAACGGAGACUGGCUUGACGAAGAUGAUUUGGGCUCUUUUACACUUGAUGAUUAUUCAGAUAUUAUGUUGGAGCAUUUGAAAGAAUUUGAGAUUCGAAAUUUUAGCGACGCAGAGAAUGAGUUGGAUUUUGUGAGGCUUAUAUUAGCCAAGUCACCUGUGCUAAAGAAGGUGACGGUAUCCCCGUAUUAUAAUUUUGAUAAAGAUGAAGAACCACAGAUUUCCGAAAUUCUUUUUUGCUCUCCGUUCGCAUCACCUAUGGUAGAAAUCAUCGUCAGACGUUGAAGUUCAAUUGGUCAUGCCGUUUGUGAUUCUGUUUUUUUUAAUGUCGAGUUCAGUUAAAUGAACAAAUUUGUUUCAUUCCGAUAUU